ACCCGCUGAACUUAAGCAUAUCAAUAAGCGGAGGAAAAGAAACCAACAGGGAUUGCCUCAGUAACGGCGAGUGAAGCGGCAACAGCUCAAAUUUGAAAUCUGGCCCCAGGCCCGAGUUGUAAUUUGCAGAGGAUGUUUCUGGCGAGGCACUUUCCGAGUUCCCUGGAACGGGACGCCAUAGAGGGUGAGAGCCCCGUACGGUUGGUCGCUAAGCCUCUGUGAAACUCCUUCGACGAGUCGAGUAGUUUGGGAAUGCUGCUCUAAAUGGGAGGUGUACGCCUUCUAAAGCUAAAUACCGGCCAGAGACCGAUAGCGCACAAGUAGAGUGAUCGAAAGAUGAAAAGCACUUUGAAAAGAGGGUUAAACAGUACGUGAAAUUGUUGAAAGGGAAGCGCUCAUGACCAGACCUGGGCCGGUUGAUCAUCCACCGUUCUCGGUGGUGCACUCGGCCGGCUCAGGCCAGCAUCAGUUUGGCUCGGGGGAUAAAGGCUUCGGGAAUGUGGCUCCCUCCGGGGAGUGUUAUAGCCCGUUGCGUAAUACCUUGGGCCGGACUGAGGUUCGCGUUCUGCAAGGAUGCUGGCGUAAUGGUUAU
rnacentral:rRNA from 1 species